rnacentral:rRNA from 1 species
UACCAGCACCCCGAGUGGUCGGGACGUUUAUUGGGCCUAAGCAUCCGUAGCCGGUUCUACAAGUCUUCCGUUAAAUCCACCUGCUUAACAGAUGGGCUGCGGAAGAUACUAUGGAGCUAGGAGGCGGGAGAGGCAAGCGGUACUCGAUGGGUAGGGGUAAAAUCCGUUGAUCCAUUGAAAACCACCAGUGGCGAAGGCGGCUUGCCAGAACGCGCUCGACGGUGAGGGAUGAAAGCUGGGGGAGCAAACCGG